CCUCGGGAGGCAGCAGUGAGGAAUAUUGCACAAUGGGGGGAACCCUGAUGCAGCAACGCCGCGUGGAGGAUGACGCAUUUCGGUGUGUAAACUCCUUUUAUAUGUCAAGAAAAUGACGGUAGCAUAUGAAUAAGCACCGGCUAACUCCGUGCCAGCAGCCGCGGUAAUACGGAGGGUGCAAGCGUUACUCGGAAUCACUGGGCGUAAAGGACGCGUAGGCGGGUUGGGAAGUCAGGUGUGAAAUCCUACAGCUUAACUGUAGAACCGCACUUGAAACUUCUAAUCUAGAGUAUGGGAGGGGGAGAUGGAAUUAGUGGUGUAGGGGUAAAAUCCGUAGAUAUCACUAGGAAUACCUAAAGCGAAGGCGAUCUCCUGGAACAUUACUGACGCUAAGGCGUGAAAGCGUGGGGAGCAAACAGGAUUAGAUACCCGCGUAGUC
rnacentral:rRNA from 1 species